rnacentral:lncRNA from 1 species
GCCGCUCUGCCGUGGGCUCGGCCCGGGCUGCCACGAGCGUGCGGGCCUCGCCGGGCAUGUCCUAGGCGGCGGCCCCGCCCAGCGCUCGGCCGGGCGGGCGGGCGCGAGGGCCGGGACCGAGCCGGGCCGAGCUGGGGAACAAGCCGGGGACCAAGCCGGGGACCAAGCCGGGGACUAAGGCGAGCCGGAGACCGAGCCCGAACAGCAGGAUGCACUCAGCCCGGCAGCCUCCCCUUCUCCUCUGCUCCACUGGGCCUCAGCUGCUGUCAUUCCUGUCCUGGGUUAUUGUCCUCACUUCUUGACUGGCC